UACGUAGGGAGCAAGCGUUGUCCGGAAUCAUUGGGCGUAAAGCGCGCGUAGGCGGCCUCAUAAGUCCGUUGUGAAAGUCAAAGGCUCAACCUUUGAAAGCCGAUGGAUACUGUGAGGCUAGAGUCCGGAAGAGGCGAGUGGAAUUCCUGGUGUAGCGGUGGAAUGCGCAGAUAUCAGGAGGAACACCAAUAGCGAAGGCAGCUCGCUGGGACGGUACUGACGCUGAGGCGCGAAAGCGUGGGGAGCGAACAGG
rnacentral:rRNA from 1 species